GAUGAACGCUAGCUACAGGCCUAACACAUGCAAGUCGAGGGGAAACGAUAGAGAAAGCUUGCUUUUUCUGGGCGUCGACCGGCGCACGGGUGAGUAACGCGUAUCCAACCUGCCCAUCACUUGGGGAUAACCUUGCGAAAGUAAGACUAAUACCCAAUGAUAUCUCUAGAAGACAUCUGAAGGAGAUUAAAGAUUCAUCGGUGAUGGAUGGGGAUGCGUCUGAUUAGCUUGUUGGCGGGGUAACGGCCCACCAAGGCGACGAUCAGUAGGGGUUCUGAGAGGAAGGUCCCCCACAUUGGAACUGAGACACGGUCCAAACUCCUACGGGAGGCAGCAGUGAGGAAUAUUGGUCAAUGGACGAGAGUCUGAACCAGCCAAGUAGCGUGCAGGAUGACGGCCCUAUGGGUUGUAAACUGCUUUUAUAAGGGAAUAAAGUGAGUCUCGUGAGACUUUUUGCAUGUACCUUGUGAAUAAGGACCGGCUAAUUCCGUGCCAGCAGCCGCCGUAA
rnacentral:rRNA from 1 species